CUGAGGCAGUGUGCUAAGCUAAAUAAUUACCUCCCAGAUGUCUGCCUCCUAACCUCCUGCCGAUGAGUGCACUUGGUGUGGCAAGAACGACUUUUUUCCCCAAUGGAGAGAACUGAAGUCAGUGCCUCAAGCACACGAAGCUAGCUUAACUCUAAUGAGCUACGCCCACGGUCCCAAUAUCAAAUACUGCAAAGCAGCAAAAUCCACAUAUGGAAGACAUCAUUAUCAACAGAGUGUGUCCAAAGAUUGAUCUCCAUAGCAACCGUACCCCUGCUACACGUAAUGUCUAAGGUCUCAGAGUUAACACCACAUGCACGCAGAGCAUUGGUAUUAUGUAGUCCCGACUAUGGUUGCUGUAGAAACCUAAACUCUGGUCCCUGGCAGCAGAGGAGAGAAAGAAAACAAGAACAAAGGGUCCCUGCGAACCAACUCAUCACUCCUCUGCUCUCAAGAAUGGCGGCAUCGUCUGAGUACUCUGUUAAAGCCCUGCCUUGACAGCACUAAAGGACAUUUCUUCCACAGAAAGAUUUUUAAAUGAUGUCAAGUCUUUGAC